rnacentral:rRNA from 1 species
CAGUCGUACCUGCGGGUAAUCAGCCUUUUGGGCGUGAUUCUGUGGAGCGUGAGGAGUUAAACGCCUUCAUGCCUGCAUAUUCGUGUACUUUUGGGUGUACUUGCCUGUGUGGUUAGUUAACAUCAAUUUUGGUUAUCAUAAAAUGGUUGGAGGAAUGUGGCACCUCCGGGUGUGUUAUAGCCCCUUUCCGCAUACGCCGGUUGGAUCGAGGACCUUCAGUGCACGCUUCGGUUGUGCUUUGAUGCUGGCGUAAUGGCUUUAAGCGACCCCGUCUUGAAACACGGACCAAGGAGUCUAACAUGUGUGCGAGU